UACACUCCUGCGGGAGGCAGCAGUGGGGAAUUUUGGACAAUGGGCGAAAGCCUGAUCCAGCCAUGCCGCGUGCAGGAUGAAGGCCUUCGGGUUGUAAACUGCUUUUGUACGGAACGAAACGGCCUUUUCUAAUAAAGAGGGCUAAUGACGGUACCGUAAGAAUAAGCACCGGCUAACUACGUGCCAGCAGCCGCGGUAAUACGUAGGGUGCAAGCGUUAAUCGGAAUUACUGGGCGUAAAGCGUGCGCAGGCGGUUAUGUAAGACAGUUGCGAAAUCCCCGGGCUCAACCUGGGAACUGCAUCUGUGACUGCAUAGCUAGAGUACGGUAGAGGGGGAUGGAAUUCCGCGUGUAGCAGUGAAAUGCGUAGAUAUGCGGAGGAACACCGAUGGCGAAGGCAAUCCCCUGGACCUGUACUGACGCUCAUGCACGGAAGCGUGGGGAGCAAACAGGAUUAGAAACCCCUGUAGUCCCA
rnacentral:rRNA from 1 species